CAAAAAACAGAGAGCUUGCUCUCGGGUGACGAGUGGCGGACGGGUGAGUAAUGUCUGGGAAACUGCCUGAUGGAGGGGGAUAACUACUGGAAACGGUAGCUAAUACCGCAUAACGUCGCAAGACCAAAGAGGGGGACCUUCGGGCCUCUUGCCAUCAGAUGUGCCCAGAUGGGAUUAGCUAGUAGGUGGGGUAACGGCUCACCUAGGCGACGAUCCCUAGCUGGUCUGAGAGGAUGACCAGCCACACUGGAACUGAGACACGGUCCAGACUCCUACGGGAGGCAGCAGUGGGGAAUAUUGCACAAUGGGCGCAAGCCUGAUGCAGCCAUGCCGCGUGUAUGAAGAAGGCCUUCGGGUUGUAAAGUACUUUCAGCGGGGAGGAAGGUGUUGUGGUUAAUAACCACAGCAAUUGACGUUACCCGCAAAAGAAGCACCGGCUAACUCCGUGCCAGCAGCCGCGGUAAUACGGAGGGUGCAAGCGUUAAUCGGAAUUACUGGGCGUAAAAGCAGCACGCA
rnacentral:rRNA from 1 species